rnacentral:misc_RNA from 1 species
AACGCACCUUGCGCUCCUUGGUAUUCCGAGGAGCAUGCCUGUUUGAGUGUCAUGAAAUUCUCAACUGCCUUUAUGGUGAAGUUGGAUUUGGAGGAUCUUGCUGGCGCUCUUCAAUGAGCUUCGUCGGCUCCUCUCGAAUGCAUGAGCCUUCCUGUGCAACAUUGUGAAGCGACUCUGAUGUGAUAAUUAUCUACGUUGGACGUCGUGUUUGCUUUGGGCACGAACGGAUUGUAAAAACGCAGAUAUGCGUCCUUGACAAAUUCGACCUCAAAUCAGGUAGGACUACCCGCUGAACUUAA